GGUUGAAAGUGCAAGGUCAAGUGGACCUCUGUCUGCUCGCCAAUUGCCCUGGGAGAUUUGGGCAUUCACGACCUCGACAAGUUUGAGCACGAGCUACAGUUGCGAUGGCUCUGGCUUAGCUGGCAGGCGCCCUCACGCCCAUGGGUGGGCUCUGACUUGCCGUGCGACCAGCAGGACCGAGACUCUUCACUGCAGCCACCUCAGUCAAUAUCAGGAAGGGCAAGCCCACCUGUUUCUGGGAGUCAACCUGGCUAUGCUCUACCCCCUUGUGCCUGA
rnacentral:rRNA from 1 species